rnacentral:rRNA from 1 species
AACGAACGCUGGCGGCAUGCCUAACACAUGCAAGUCGAACGAGACCUUCGGGUCUAGUGGCGCACGGGUGCGUAACGCGUGGGAAUCUGCCCUUGGGUUCGGAAUAACAGUUGGAAACGACUGCUAAUACCGGAUGAUGACGUAAGUCCAAAGAUUUAUCGCCCAAGGAUGAGCCCGCGUAGGAUUAGCUAGUUGGUGAGGUAAAGGCUCACCAAGGCGACGAUCCUUAGCUGGUCUGAGAGGAUGAUCAGCCACACUGGGACUGAGACACGGCCCAGACUCCUACGGGAGGCAGCAGUGGGGAAUAUUGGACAAUGGGCGAAAGCCUGAUCCAGCAAUGCCGCGUGAGUGAUGAAGGCCUUAGGGUUGUAAAGCUCUUAUACCCGGGAUGAUAAUGACAGUACCGGGAGAAUAAGCUCCGGCUAACUCCGUG